UUUCCGUAGGUGAACCUGCGGAAGGAUCAUUAUUGUUUAACCGAGGUGCGAGGGCUGUCGCUGACCCGAAAGGUCGUGCACGCCCGAGUGCCCUCACACACAUCCAUCUCACCCCUAUGUGCACCACCGCGUGGGUCACCCUUUGGCUUGUUCGGAGGGGGGCUUACGUUUUCACACAAACUUUGUAUGCAGUGUAGAAUGUAUUUUUUGUUUUUGCGAUCACGCAAUCAAUACAACUUUCAACAACGGAUCUCUUGGCUCUC
rnacentral:misc_RNA from 1 species